AUUGAACGCUGGCGGCAGGCCUAACACAUGCAAGUCGAGCGGAUGAGUGGAGCUUGCUCCAUGAUUCAGCGGCGGACGGGUGAGUAAUGCCUAGGAAUCUGCCUGGUAGUGGGGGGGCAACGUUUCGAAAGGAACGCUAAUACCGCAUACGUCCUACGGGAGAAAGCAGGGGACCUUCGGGCCUUGCGCUAUCAGAUGAGCCUAGGUCGGAUUAGCUAGUAGGUGAGGUAAUGGCUCACCUAGGCGACGAUCCGUAACUGGUCUGAGAGGAUGAUCAGUCACACUGGAACUGAGACACGGUCCAGACUCCUACGGGAGGCAGCAGUGGGGAAUAUUGGACAAUGGGCGAAAGCCUGAUCCAGCCAUGCCGCGUGUGUGAAGAAGGUCUUCGGAUUGUAAAGCACUUUAAGUUGGGAGGAAGGGCAGUAAGUUAAUACCUUGCGGUGUUUUGACGUUACCAACAGAAUAAGCACCGGCUAACUUCGUG
rnacentral:rRNA from 1 species